CCUACGGGUGGCAGCAGUGAGGAAUAUUGGUCAAUGGGCGGAAGCCUGAACCAGCCAAGUAGCGUGCGGGAUGACGGCCCUACGGGUUGUAAACCGCUUUUGCACGGGGACAACACCCUCCACGUGUGGACGUAUGCAGGUACCGUGCGAAAAAGGGACGGCUAAUCCCGUGCCAGCAGCCGCGGUAAUACGGAGGGUGCGAGCGUUAUCCGGAUUAAUUGGGCUUAAAGGGGGCGUAGGCGGGAGUGCAAGUCAGCGGUAAAAUCGCGUGGCUCAACCCCGCUCCGCCGUUGAAAAUGGGGGCCUUGAGUGCGCGAGAGGUAUGCGGAAUGCGUGGUGUAGCGGUGAAAUGCAUAGAUAUCACGAAGAACUCCGAUUGCGAAGGCAGCAUACCGGGGCGCAACUGACGCUGAGGCACGAAAGCGUGGGUAUCGAACAGGAUUAGAUACCCGAGUAGUC
rnacentral:rRNA from 1 species